AGGCGGCGGGAGGCGACUUUAGCCACGAUGACUGGAGGCCGGAGAAAGAACGUCUGAGCUCCGAUGUGGGUAUUGGGAGGGGUCGGCUCUCGGAAAGUCUCCGGAGGAAAGUUCUAAGAAGAAGACCAAAUGCAAAGGCCUGAGUUGAGAAACACCUUGGUUUGUCCGAGGGAUGCCCCCUCCCCCAAGGGGGAGGAGGGGCGGGGAGUGGGGGGGAACGGGAGAUGGAGUCAAAGAGACAGAUGGCCAGUCAGGCAGGACCCAGGAGGCUGUGGUCUGGAGUUCACGAAGGGAUAUCACUCGGUCUACAGUGUAAAAGACCUCUUUGCCGUGUGGAGGGAAGGUUGCAGGAGAACACGGGUGGAGAGGAGGGACCAGUUGGGUGGUGGCAGUGGUCCAGGCAGCAGAUGAUGGUGGUGUGGACUCGGGUUGUAGCAGCAGAGAUGGAGAGAAAGGGUCGUAUUCCGGAUGCAUUUUGGAGGAAAAGAUAACAGGACUGAGUAGAUGGAACGUGGAGUGUUAAGGAGAGAGAGGCAUUGAGGAUUUUUCCCAUGAGUAGCUGGAAAAAUGGUGGUGCUAUUUACUGAGAUGGGGAAAACUUGGGGAGGAAGAGAUUUGGGAAAUAGGAAGAGUCUAUAAUUCUAUUUGGCUCUGUUAAAAUUGAGAUACCUGUAAUCCAAAAGGAGGUGGUGAAGAGUCAGGUAAUUUGGAGCUCAGGACAGAGGCCAAAGCUGGAGGUAAGAUCAGCCCUAGGAGUUCUCAGUGUGUGCAUGUGUGUGUGCACGUCUGUGUGUGUGCGCGUGCACGUAUAUAUGAAAGGAUAUAUGUAGAUAUGCACACACCUUAUAUGUGUAUGUAUGUACACACGUGUAUGCACAUGCCUGUAAUGUACACAGCACUUAAAGCCACGGGACUGGGUCAGAACCUGGGACGCUCGACAGUCACUGGCUGGGAAGAGGAGAAGCCAGGGAAAGAACCAGGGAAGGAAGGCCAGGCUGGCGAGCGCUGCGCGGGAAGGGUGUCUCAGGGAGGAAGGGGCUGAGUGAGAUGCAGGAGGAAAUGGCGGCGAAGUGAGACUGAUGAUGACGACACAGCUUUCCAGGGGUGUUGCUCUUGAGGGCUGCAGAGGGACGGGGCAGGAUUUGGAGAGAACAUGAAUUCAGGGAGGGAUUUGCUUUUUGCUUUUUUUACCCACCGGAAGAUAGCAGACAUCCUUUUUACAGUGACGGGAAUGGUCCAGGAGACUGGGAGAAGUGGCAACGUCGCAGAAGUGAAAAAGGGUAACUGCAGGGGUGACAAAGUCAGAAGGUGAGAGGGAAUGAGAGUCGGGAGCCAGCCAACCACCGAGGGCGGGAGGGAUGGGGCAGAGGGAGGGCGUGCUGGGGGGCAGUUCCGUGCUUCUCAGGUAAGCACCGCCCACAGGUAAGUCCUGGCCGAGUGUAGCCCUGAUGAUGGGACAGGUGGCAGGACACAGAGCAAGGUCACAGAGGAGCUUAGCUCAAGGCUGGAGAGCUGGGGGGAGGGGCCCAGUCGCUGUGCGGGUCCUCAGCACCCCAACUCCUCUUUCUCUCUCUCCUGGUCUCCCAGGAGCCUGUCAAACUCAGGGCUCGGCGAGGGCAGCGCUCCCGCUGGUGUGACAGAAAAAAGAAGCCUAUUUCUGUUACAUGUAGUGGUUUGUAUCUGAAUGACCUAUCUGACUUAAGGAAACCAGGAGGACCAGGAGUUGCCUCUGCCCAGGCCGCAGGAGGGCCGUUAUAGGAGAAGGAAGGAUCUGGAACCACUAGAAGACUGGCAGAAUCUCACCUUCAAAUAUUUGGAAAAAAUCCAGCAGAGAAAGAAGAGUGCGUUCCGAGGAGGGGAGUGGGCUCCCCAGGGGGGAAGAAGCAUCAGGAGAAGAAGGGGCUCAGAGGGAAGAAGGGGGGAAGGUGGGGGGCAUCAGGCCCGGCAGACAGUCCUCUCCCUGCCAAGGCCUUUGUGUGGAGGGGGAAGGAGGGAAGAGGUAACGCGGCCGCUCCAGGAGGGUGGGAUCACGGCGUGAGAGAACCCUGGGGGGCGAGGGGGCCUUCAGGCCACGUGUCCAGUUCACCCAGUGUUAAGCUCAGAGGUACAGGGACCCGCUGGAGGCCACAUAGUCAGUGGCAGAGCUGAGACAAUAGUCUUGGACUCCUGACUCCCAGGAGAAGGGCUUUUUCUAGUAGAUCUUUAAAGGAGAGCUUUGGGAAGAUGAGCUGGGUAAAACCAAAAGGAAUGAUAAUGACUAUAAAAAUUGCUAAUA